rnacentral:rRNA from 1 species
AUGGAAUUUAACUCUUUCAUGCUUACUUUAACUAGUUAUUUUGGUUUUCUACUGGCUGCUUUAACUAUAACCCCAGCUCUAUUUAUUGGCUUGCGUGUAUAA